CCUCAGAUUUCUAUACGCAUUU
rnacentral:miRNA from 1 species